GACGAACGCUGGCGGCGUGCUUAACACAUGCAAGUCGAACGAAGAGCGAUGGAAGCUUGCUUCUAUCAAUCUUAGUGGCGAACGGGUGAGUAACGCGUAAUCAACCUGCCCUUCAGAGGGGGACAACAGUUGGAAACGACUGCUAAUACCGCAUACGAUCUAAUCUCGGCAUCGAGGAUAGAUGAAAGGUGGCCUCUACAUGUAAGCUAUCACUGAAGGAGGGGAUUGCGUCUGAUUAGCUAGUUGGAGGGGUAACGGCCCACCAAGGCGAUGAUCAGUAGCCGGUCUGAGAGGAUGAACGGCCACAUUGGGACUGAGACACGGCCCAGACUCCUACGGGAGGCAGCAGUGGGGAAUCUUCCGCAAUGGACGAAAGUCUGACGGAGCAACGCCGCGUGAGUGAUGACGGCCUUCGGGUUGUAAAGCUCUGUUAAUCGGGACGAAAGGCCUUCUUGCGAAUAGUUAGAAGGCAUGACGGUACC
rnacentral:rRNA from 1 species